AUUGAACGCUGGCGGCAGGCCUAACACAUGCAAGUCGAGCGAGCGGCGGACGGGUGAGUCAUGUCUGGGAAACUGCCUGAUGGAGGGGGAUAACUACUGGAAACGGUAGCUAAUACCGCAUACCAUCAGAUGUGCCCAGAGGGGAUUAGCUAGUAGGUGGGGUAAUGGCUCACCUAGGCUACGAUCCCUAGCUGGUCUGAGGGGAUGACCAGCCACAAUGGAACUUGUACACGGUCCAGACUCCAACGGUAGGCAGCAGGUGGGAAUAUUGCACAAUGGUCGCAAGCCUGAUGAAGCCAUGCCGCGUGUGUGAAGAAGGCCUUAGGGUGGUAAAGCACUUUCAGCGAGGAGGCGUUACCCGCAGAAGAAGCACCGGCUAACUCCGUGCCAGCAGCCGCGGUAAUAC
rnacentral:rRNA from 1 species